CCUACGGGUGGCUGCAGUGAGGAAUAUUGGUCAAUGGGCGAGAGCCUGAACCAGCCAAGUCGCGUGAGGGAAGACGGUCCUAUGGAUUGUAAACCUCUUUUGUCGGGGAGCAAAAAGGCCUCGUGAGGCCACAAGUGAGAGUACCCGAAGAAAAAGCAUCGGCUAACUCCGUGCCAGCAGCCGCGGUAAUACGGAGGGUGCAAGCGUUGUCCGGAAUCAUUGGGCGUAAAGAGUUCGUAGGCGGCAUGUAAAGUCAGGUGUUAAAGGCGCAGGCUCAACCUGUGUAUGGCACUUGAUACUUGCAAGCUGGAAUGCGGUAGAGGUAAAGGGAAUGCCUGGUGUAGCGGUGAAAUGCUUAGAUAUCAGGAGGAACAUCGGUGGCGUAAGCGCUUUACUGGGCCGUAAUUGACGCUGAGGAACGAAAGCCAGGGUAGCAAAUGGGAUUAGAUACCCCAGUAGUC
rnacentral:rRNA from 1 species